rnacentral:rRNA from 1 species
UUGAAACACUGGUUCUCAUACAAUCACUGAAGUUAAGCAACAUCAAGCCUGGUCAGUACCUAGAUGGGUGACCACAUUGGAAUACCGGGUGUC